AGUGACUUUGGAUGAAGAUAUUCUAGGAAUUACCUGCACCUUUACAGAUUCAUAUGUAUCAGAUAUGUUUGUAUUCCUGGAUCAUAUGCCAACACAAGUCAAAGAGAGAUUGUAAGGAAAUCAUCCUUAAAAUUGCUGCUACUGAUACUGAAGAUGUACUAAUGUAUUCUUCAAGCUUCUUUCCCUGACUCUAGGUGGGACUUUGAGAUAUCCUUUCUGAUAUUGUUCUCCCCAAAUCAAGAGCUGACCAUGAGAAACACUACUUCAAUAUAAAAUUCAUAAAAAUCUUUUGACAAACUGCUCAAAUUCAUCUAACCAAGACCAAGUGUGAAAUCAUAAAUUCAUACUAAAGCAUUCCUCUUUCAUUCUUUUUUAAUACUGUUUCAUAAAUCUGAACCUAUCAGGAGCAAGAACAUAUUAUAGUAAGUGGUUUCCAAUUAAAAUAUCUCCUUAAUCUCAAGACUUUCAGAAACUUUAAGCAGAGAUUUCUCUUUAGUAUUAGUAACUG